GCGCUGGACACAGCCCAGGCCCGCUAGUGUCUCAAGAUAGAGAAGGUGUGGAUCUUUGGAGGGCAGCGGCCCCUUCGGGCUCAUUGGGGAGCAGCGGUCGGUCCGCGCGCGCCUCCUGCCGGCCUCAUCCGGAACUGCGGCCCUUGCCCCUUGACGCCGGCGGGACCUCCCGCCUAGGACCCGCACUUGCUUGCUACCUGGGCGGAACUCGCUCCACUGCCUCACUUCGAACCCGGAAACCCUAAGAUGGCUCUGCUCAUGCUAAGACCCACCAGCUCCGUGUCGGAGAGGCUGCGGCUGGCCCGUGGGGAUCUCCCAGGACCCCUCCGCAGCAGACAUUUCCCGCCCCACCACGGCCAUCCUCCUCCAUGGGGCUCCCUCCUGUCCAGGACCCAGCAGUCUACAGCCCAGCUGGGACCUGUGACCCUGGUUCUGCCAGCUGUCCACCACCCCUCCUAGCUUCCACUGAACCCAGGCCCAUCCCUGGCAGCGCCACCCUCUCCUGCUGGGCCCUCUCCUCCCCUGACCACCUGCAGAGGCCCUGUACCUGGCUCAGUCUAGGUGGGGCUACGUUCUGCAGCUGAAAGAGGUGGCCGCCAGGGCUCUGGAGAAGCUGCUGGGCUCCUCCACUCCUGGUCCAGCCACUCGGCCCCCAGAGACCACAGCCCACCCUCUCCUCCCACACACCUGGCCUUUGCAGUCCCCACUGGGGAUGCCCAAUGGAUCUUUCAGCUCCCCGUCUCCGGAGGACCGAGAGUUCAGUAAUGACAGUGGCCUGAAAAGAAGAGCUAGUGGUGGGAACGCCGUCUUGCUGAACUUCAUGCACACAGUCAUGUAAAAAGUGAAAAUAUUUUUGCCUGGAGAGAAGAGCCUGCCAGGCUACAGUCCAUGGGGUCACAAGAGUCGGACAUGACUUAGCCGCUGCCAGCCAAAGCUGGAGUUGGGACUGGGCUGUAGGAGAAGCCCUUGUGCCUGCCAUGGACGCCAAUUACCCCAGAGAGGAAGGUGCCUCUACUUACUAUCAGGCAGGAGGAAGGAAACUGCCCUGGGCACCCUCAACCACCCCCACAG
ensembl:lncRNA